rnacentral:rRNA from 1 species
AGACGUCUACAUUAGAUACCCGCGUAGUCCCAGCCGUAAACUAUGCGCGUUAGGUGUAUCGGUGACCACGAGUCACCGAGGUGCCGAAGGGAAACCGUGAAACGUGCCGCCUGGGAAGUACGGUCGCAAGGCUGAAACUUAAAGGAAUUGGCGGGGAGCACCACAACGGGUGGAGCCUGCGGUUUAAUUGGACUCAACGCCGGGAAGCUCACCGGAUAGGACAGCAGAAUGAUUGCCGGGCUGAAGACCCUGCAUGACUAGCUG